rnacentral:rRNA from 1 species
UACGUAGGGGGCUAGCGUUAUCCGGAAUUACUGGGCGUAAAGGGUGCGUAGGUGGUUUCUUAAGUCAGGGGUGAAAGGCUACGGCUCAACCGUAGUAAGCCUUUGAAACUGGGGAACUUGAGUGCAGGAGAGGAGAGUGGAAUUCCUAGUGUAGCGGUGAAAUGCGUAGAUAUUAGGAGGAACACCAGUUGCGAAGGCGGCUCUCUGGACUGUAACUGACACUGAGGCACGAAAGCGUGGGGAGCAAACAGG